rnacentral:rRNA from 1 species
AACGUAGGAGACAAACGUUAUCCGGAGUUACUGGGCGUAAAGGGCGUGUAGGCGGUUUGUUAAGUCUGGCGUGAAAGCUCUCGGCUAAACCGGGAGAGGUCGUUGGAUACUGGCAAACUAGAGGAUGGUAGAGGCGUGUGGAAUUCCGGGUGUAGUGGUGAAAUGCGUAGAGAGUCCGGAGGAACACCAGUGGCGAAGGCGACUCGCUGGGACGUUACUGACGCUGAGACGCGAAAGCGUGGGAGCAAACAGG